rnacentral:rRNA from 1 species
GGGUUGUGAGGUUAAGCGACUAAGCGUACACGGUGGAUGCCCUGGCAGUCAGAGGCGAUGAAGGACGUGCUAAUCUGCGAUAAGCGUCGGUAAGGUGAUAUGAACCGUUAUAACCGGCGAUUUCCGAAUGGGGAAACCCAGUGUGAUUCGUCACACUAUCAUUAACUGAAUCCAUAGGUUAAUGAGGCGAACCGGGGGAACUGAAACAUCUAAGUACCCCGAGGAAAAGAAAUCAACCGAGAUUCCCCCAGUAGCGGCGAGCGAACGGGGAGCAGCCCAGAGCCUGAAUCAGUGUGUGUGUUAGUGGAAGCGUCUGGAAAGGCGCGCGAUACAGGGUGACAGCCCCGUACACAAAAAUGCACAUGCUGUGAGCUCGAUGAGUAGGGCGGGACACGUGGUAUCCUGUCUGAAUAUGGGGGGACCAUCCUCCAAGGCUAAAUACUCCUGACUGACCGAUAGUGAACCAGUACCGUGAGGGAAAGGCGAAAAGAACCCCGGCGAGGGGAGUGAAAAAGAACCUGAAACCGUGUACGUACAAGCAGUGGGAGCACGCUUAGGCGUGUGACUGCGUACCUUUUGUAUAAUGGGUCAGCGACUUAUAUUCUGUAGCAAGGUUAACCGAAUAGGGGAGCCGAAGGGAAACCGAGUCUUAACUGGGCGUUAAGUUGCAGGGUAUAGACCCGAAACCCGGUGAUCUAGCCAUGGGCAGGUUGAAGGUUGGGUAACACUAACUGGAGGACCGAACCGACUAAUGUUGAAAAAUUAGCGGAUGACUUGUGGCUGGGGGUGAAAGGCCAAUCAAACCGGGAGAUAGCUGGUUCUCCCCGAAAGCUAUUUAGGUAGCGCCUCGUGAAUUCAUCUCCGGGGGUAGAGCACUGUUUCGGCAAGGGGGUCAUCCCGACUUACCAACCCGAUGCAAACUGCGAAUACCGGAGAAUGUUAUCACGGGAGACACACGGCGGGUGCUAACGUCCGUCGUGAAGAGGGAAACAACCCAGACCGCCAGCUAAGGUCCCAAAGUCAUGGUUAAGUGGGAAACGAUGUGGGAAGGCCCAGACAGCCAGGAUGUUGGCUUAGAAGCAGCCAUCAUUUAAAGAAAGCGUAAUAGCUCACUGGUCGAGUCGGCCUGCGCGGAAGAUGUAACGGGGCUAAACCAUGCACCGAAGCUGCGGCAGCGACGCUUAUGCGUUGUUGGGUAGGGGAGCGUUCUGUAAGCCUGCGAAGGUGUACUGUGAGGUAUGCUGGAGGUAUCAGAAGUGCGAAUGCUGACAUAAGUAACGAUAAAGCGGGUGAAAAGCCCGCUCGCCGGAAGACCAAGGGUUCCUGUCCAACGUUAAUCGGGGCAGGGUGAGUCGACCCCUAAGGCGAGGCCGAAAGGCGUAGUCGAUGGGAAACAGGUUAAUAUUCCUGUACUUGGUGUUACUGCGAAGGGGGGACGGAGAAGGCUAUGUUGGCCGGGCGACGGUUGUCCCGGUUUAAGCGUGUAGGCUGGUUUUCCAGGCAAAUCCGGAAAAUCAAGGCUGAGGCGUGAUGACGAGGCACUACGGUGCUGAAGCAACAAAUGCCCUGCUUCCAGGAAAAGCCUCUAAGCAUCAGGUAACAUCAAAUCGUACCCCAAACCGACACAGGUGGUCAGGUAGAGAAUACCAAGGCGCUUGAGAGAACUCGGGUGAAGGAACUAGGCAAAAUGGUGCCGUAACUUCGGGAGAAGGCACGCUGAUAUGUAGGUGAAGUCCCUCGCGGAUGGAGCUGAAAUCAGUCGAAGAUACCAGCUGGCUGCAACUGUUUAUUAAAAACACAGCACUGUGCAAACACGAAAGUGGACGUAUACGGUGUGACGCCUGCCCGGUGCCGGAAGGUUAAUUGAUGGGGUCAGCGCAAGCGAAGCUCUUGAUCGAAGCCCCGGUAAACGGCGGCCGUAACUAUAACGGUCCUAAGGUAGCGAAAUUCCUUGUCGGGUAAGUUCCGACCUGCACGAAUGGCGUAAUGAUGGCCAGGCUGUCUCCACCCGAGACUCAGUGAAAUUGAACUCGCUGUGAAGAUGCAGUGUACCCGCGGCAAGACGGAAAGACCCCGUGAACCUUUACUAUAGCUUGACACUGAACAUUGAGCCUUGAUGUGUAGGAUAGGUGGGAGGCUUUGAAGUGUGGACGCCAGUCUGCAUGGAGCCGACCUUGAAAUACCACCCUUUAAUGUUUGAUGUUCUAACGUUGACCCGUGAUCCGGGUUGCGGACAGUGUCUGGUGGGUAGUUUGACUGGGGCGGUCUCCUCCUAAAGAGUAACGGAGGAGCACGAAGGUUGGCUAAUCCUGGUCGGACAUCAGGAGGUUAGUGCAAUGGCAUAAGCCAGCUUGACUGCGAGCGUGACGGCGCGAGCAGGUGCGAAAGCAGGUCAUAGUGAUCCGGUGGUUCUGAAUGGAAGGGCCAUCGCUCAACGGAUAAAAGGUACUCCGGGGAUAACAGGCUGAUACCGCCCAAGAGUUCAUAUCGACGGCGGUGUUUGGCACCUCGAUGUCGGCUCAUCACAUCCUGGGGCUGAAGUAGGUCCCAAGGGUAUGGCUGUUCGCCAUUUAAAGUGGUACGCGAGCUGGGUUUAGAACGUCGUGAGACAGUUCGGUCCCUAUCUGCCGUGGGCGCUGGAGAACUGAGGGGGGCUGCUCCUAGUACGAGAGGACCGGAGUGGACGCAUCACUGGUGUUCGGGUUGUCAUGCCAAUGGCACUGCCCGGUAGCUAAAUGCGGAAGAGAUAAGUGCUGAAAGCAUCUAAGCACGAAACUUGCCCCGAGAUGAGUUCUCCCUGACCCUUUAAGGGUCCUGAAGGAACGUUGAAGACGACGACGUUGAUAGGCCGGGUGUGUAAGCGCAGCGAUGCGUUGAGCUAACCGGUACUAAUGAACCGUGAGGCUUAACCUUACAACGCCGAAGGUGUUU